AGGCGCAUCCGCCCUGGGAAAAGUGAGAGGCGGCGGAGAGGCGGGCCUGGGAGCCAACGGCUCGGUCGUUUCAACCAAUGAGGUAGAAAGCUCCUUUUCACAGAUGGGAUAUGUGUCUGAUUCAUCUCACAACCAGAAAACUUCAUAUCUUGGGCUGGGAGGACCGAAGAGUUGUGAGAUGAAGUCAACUAGAAUUAUCUACGCAAGUUUCCUUGUCUACCAAAUGAAUAAAAGGACCAUGAAGAUCGCUGAAAUAUGUAGAGGACAAGUGGGACACAGCCUGUAGAGGAGCGUGGGCGGGAUCAGGGGAACUAGUCAGAAUACUGUGGCAGCCCAGACCCACACUGAUGUUUUCCAGGAUCCUCAGAACAUGUAAAGCAGGUUCUCUCUUGAAGGGAGGUCUGAGUGGCAUACUCCCACAGCUGCUGUAUGUAGCUGCCCUACUGGAGAGACCCUGUGGAGAGGCCAUGUGAAGAGGAGAGAGCCUGAAUCUACAUGGAGAAGGAGCAAGGUCCAGUCACCUCAGUAUCCCAGAUCCCAGGUGAGCCUCCACAGGACUCCAGCCUCCGCCACCAUCUGACUGAAACUCCCAUAGGAGAAGCCUUCCAGUCAACCCACAACAUUGUGAGUGAUAAAAAAAAAAAAAUUUGUCGUUGUUUUAAGCCAGUAAGGGUUGGGCUGGUUUGUUACGUAGCAAGAGCUAACUGAAACAACAGUGAAGUUCAUAAAAUGCACUAAUCUUAUGUAUAGAGAUCUAUGAAUUUUGCCACAUGCAAACUCCUAUGGAGAGAUCACUCAGAUCAAUGUAUAGAAUGUUUACAGCAAUCCAGAAGGUUCCUUUGUGCCCUCUUCCCAGUCAAUACCCCUCCCCAAACCAGAGAUGCCACUCUAUCAAGUUCUAUCACCACCAGUUAGUUUUGUAUGUUCUUGACUUUCAUUUAAAUGGAAUUAUACAGCAUACACUUUUUAGUGCCUGGCUUCUUUCACUCAUGAUUAUGUUGGCAAGAGUCAUCCAUGUAGUUGGGUGUAACAGGAAUCUGCCCGCUUUUUAUUGCUGUAUGAACAUACUAUACUCUGU